UACGGAGGGGGCAAGCGUUGUUCGGAAUUACUGGGCGUAAAGGGCGCGCAGGCGGCUGCUCAAGUCAGGCGUGAAAGCCCUGGGCUCAACCCAGGAUGUGCACUUGAUACUGCACGGCUAGAGUGUCGGAGAGGAUGGUGGAAUUCCCAGUGUAGAGGUGAAAUUCGUAGAUAUUCGCAAGAACACCAGUGGCGAAGGCGGCUCACUGGCUCGGUACUGACGCUGAGGUGCGAAAGCGUGGGGAGCAAACAGG
rnacentral:rRNA from 1 species